ACUCUCACGGGAGGCAGCAGUGGGGAAUAUUGCACAAUGGGCGCAAGCCUGAUGCAGCCCUGCCGCGUGUAUGAAGAAGGCCUUCGGGUUGUAAAGUACUUUCAGCGGGGAGGAAGGUGUUGCGGUUAAUAACCGCGUCGAUUAACGUUACCCGCAGAAGAAGCACCGGCUAACUCCGUGCCAGCAGCCGCGGUAAU
rnacentral:rRNA from 1 species